UACAGAGGUGGCAAGCGUUGUUCGGAAUUACUGGGCGUAAAGGGCGCGUAGGCGGCCUUCUAAGUCAGACGUGAAAUCCCCCGGCUUAACCUGGGAACUGCGUCUGAUACUGGGAGGCUUGAGUAUGGGAGAGGGAUGUAGAAUUCCAGGUGUAGCGGUGAAAUGCGUAGAUAUCUGGAGGAAUACCGGUGGCGAGGGCGGCAUCCUGGACCAUUACUGACGCUGAGGCGCGAAAGCUAGGGGAGCAAACGGG
rnacentral:rRNA from 1 species